rfam:Citrus clementina cultivar Clemenules unplaced genomic scaffold scaffold_2, whole genome shotgun sequence.
AAGCCUAUGAUGAUUAUCGAUCUUUAAGUUGGAAUUACCGGCUGAAUUUUGAUUGAUGUGUAAAAGACUGCUGUCUGAGGCUUCCC